CAAGUCUAGGGGGUAGCAAUACCACCGGCGGACGGGUGCGUAACACGUGGGAAUGUACUUAUUGGUACGGAACAACUCAGGGAAACUUGAGCUAAUACCGUAUGAGCCCGUAAGGGGAAAGAUUUAUCGCCAAUAAAUCAGCCCGCGUCCGAUUAGCUAGUUGGUGGGGUAAAGGCUCACCAAGGCGACGAUCGGUAGCUGUUCUGAGAGGAAGAUCAGCCACACUGGGACUGAGACACGGCCCAGACUCCUACGGGAGGCAGCAGUUGGGAAUCUUGGACAAUGGGGGAAACCCUGAUCCAGCCAUGCCGCGUGAGUGAUGAAGGCCUUCGGGUUGUAAAACUCUUUCGACGGGGACGAUAAUGACGGUACCCGUAGAAGAAGCUCCGGCUAACUUCGUGCCAGCAGCCGCGGUAAUACGAAGGGGGCUAGCGUUGUUCGGAAUUACUGGGCGUAAAGCGUGCGCAGGCGGUCUUCCAAGUCAGUGGUGAAAGCCCGGAGCUCAACUCCGGAACUGCCAUUGAAACUGUUAGACUCGAGUACGAGAGAGGUGAGUGGAAUUCCCAGUGUAGAGGUGAAAUUCGUAGAUAUUGGGAAGAACACCGGUGGCGAAGGCGGCUCACUGGCUCGUAACUGACGCUCAGGCACGACAGCGUGGGGAUCAAACAGGAUUAGAUACCCUGGUAGUCCACGCCGUAAACUAUGGACGCUAGCCGUUAGGCAGCUUGCUGCUUAGUGGCGCAGCUAACGCAUUAAGCGUCCCGCCUGGGGAGUACGGCCGCAAGGUUGAAACUCAAAGGAAUUGACGGGGGCCCGCACAAGCGGUGGAGCAUGUGGUUUUAAUUCGACGCAACGCGCAGAACCUUACCAGGGUUUGACAUCCUGUGCUCACUCCUGAAAGGGAGCUUCCCCGCAAGGGGCGCA
rnacentral:rRNA from 1 species